rnacentral:rRNA from 1 species
UGAGGAAUUUUGCGCAAUGGGAGCAAUCCUGACGCAGCAACGCCGCGUGGGUGAUGAAGGCCUUCGGGUCGUAAAGCCCUGUCAGGUGGGAAGAAUGUCCCGGGACUGAACAGGUUCCGGGAGUGACGGUACCACCAGCGGAAGCACCGGCUAACUCCGUGCCAGCAGCCGCGGUAAUACGGAGGGUGCAAGCGGUAUUCGGAAUUACUGGGCGUAAAGCGCGUGUAGGCGGUCCUGCAAGUCUGAGGUGAAAGCCCCGGGCUUAACCCGGGAAGGGCAUUGGAAACUGUUGGACUUGAGUACUGGGGAGGUUGGGGGAAUUCCCGGUGUAGAGGUGAAAUUCGUAGAGAUCGGGAGGAAUACCAGUGGCGAAGGCGCCCAUCUGGACGGUAACUGACGCUGAGACGCGAAAGCGUGGGGAGCAAACA